rnacentral:tRNA from 1 species
GGGAGUAUAGUAUAGCUUGGUAGUAUCGCGGGCUCCAGACCCGCUGGGGGGGGUUCAAAUCCCUCUGCUCCCACCA